UACGGGAGGCAGCAGGGGGAAUAUUGCACAAUGGGCGCAAGCCUGAUGCAGCCAUGCCGCGUGUAUGAAGAAGGCCUUCGGGUUGUAAAGUACUUUCAGUCGUGAGGAAGGUGUUAAGGUUAAUAACCUUAGCAAUUGACGUUAGCGACAGAAGAAGCACCGGCUAACUCCGUGCCAGCAGCCGCGGUAAUACGGAGGGUGCGAGCGUUAAUCGGAAUUACUGGGCGUAAAGGGCACGCAGGCGGUUAAUUAAGUUGGAUGUGAAAUCCCCGGGCUUAACCUGGGAAUGGCAUUCAAGACUGGUUAGCUAGAGUCUGUAGAGGGGGUAGAAUUCCAUGUGUAGCGGUGAAAUGCGUAGAGAUGUGGAGGAAUACCGGUGGCGAAGGCGGCCCCUGGACAAAGACUGACGCUCAUGUGCGAAAGCGUGGGGAGCAAAC
rnacentral:rRNA from 1 species